rnacentral:rRNA from 1 species
AUUGAACGCUGGCGGCAGGCCUAACACAUGCAAGUCGAACGGCAGCAGGGGAUAGCUUGCAAUCCUGCCGGCGAGUGGCGGACGGGUGAGUAAUGCAUGGGGAGCUGCCCAGUCGAGGGGGAUAACAACUGGAAACGGUUGCUAAUACCGCAUACGCCCUAAGGGGGAAAGGUGGGGAACUUCGGUCCUACCGCGAUUGGAUGCGCCCAUGUGGGAUUAGCUAGUUGGUGAGGUAACGGCUCACCAAGGCGACGAUCUCUAGCUGGUCUGAGAGGAUGACCAGCCACACUGGAACUGAGACACGGUCCAGACUCCUACGGGAGGCAGCAGUGGGGAAUAUUGCACAAUGGGGGAAACCCUGAUGCAGCCAUGCCGCGUGUGUGAAGAAGGCCUUCGGGUUGUAAAGCACUUUCAGUCAGGAGGAAGGGGUGAUGGCUAAUAUCCAUCAUCAUUGACGUUACUGACAGAAGAAGCACCGGCUAACUCCGUGCCAGCCGCCGCUGUAA